AUAACAAUACUGAGCCUUUUUAGGUUUGGUAAUUGGAAUGAGCACAAUUUAAAUCCCUUAGCGAGGAACGACUGGAGGGCAAGCCUGGUGCCAGCAGCCGCGGUAACACCAGCUCCAGUAGCGUAUAUUAAAGUUGUUGCAGUUGAAAAGUUCGUAGUUGGAUUUCUGAUGUGAUUUGCCCGGCCCGCUCUGUUUUGCAGAUGUGAGUGCCGGCGCGAGUCCAUUCAUCCUUCUAGAUCACCGCUGACUCCGGUUCUGCCGUGUAGUCGCGGGGAGCUAGAUCUUUUACUUUGAAAAAAUUAGAGUGUUUAAAGCAGGCUUUCGCUUUUGAAUACAUUAGCAUGGAAUAAUAAUAUAGGACUUCGGCCUAUUUGUUGGUUUCUGGGACGAAGUAAUGAUUGAUAGGGAUAGUUGGGGGUGCCUGUAUUGAGUGGUCAGAGGUGAAAUUCUUGGAUUCACUCAAGACAAACUUAUGCGAAAGCAUUCGCCAAGGAUGUCUUCUUUAAUCAAGAACGAAAGUUGGGGGAUCGAAGACGAUCAGAUACCGUCGUAGUCUCAACCAUAAACUAUACCGACUAAGGAUGAGUGAACGUUGCAUUUUCGACUUCAUUCGCACUUUAUGAGAAAUCAAAGUUUUUGGGUUCUGGGGGGAGUAUGGUCGCAAGGCUGAAACUUAAAGGAAUUGACGGAAGGGCACCACCAGGCGUGGAACCUGCUGCUUAAUUUGACCCAACACGGGAAAACUUACCAGGUCCAGACUCAACAAGGAUUGACAGAUUGAAGAUCUUUCUUAAUUUUGAGGGUGGUGGUGCAUGGCCGUUCUUAGUUGGUGGAGUGAUUUGUCUGCUUGAUUGCGUUAACGAACGAGACCUCGACUUGCUAAAUAGUGGCGAGAACCUUCGGGUUCUUUGCUUACUUCUUAGAGGGACUAUUGGUGUUCUAGCCAAAGGAAGUUCGAGGCAAUAACAGGUCUGUGAUGCCCUUAGAUGUCCUGGGCCGCACGUGCGUUACACUGCUGAGUGCAUCGAGUCUACAACCUUCAUCGGAAGAUGUGGGUAAUCUUUUCAACGCUCAGCGUGCUGGGGAUAGAUUAUUGUAAUUAUUAAUCUUCAACGAGGAAUGCCUAGUAGACGCAGGUCAUCAACCUGCAUCGAUUACGUCCCUGCCCUUUGUACACACCGCCCGUCGCUACUACCGAUCGAAUGGCUUAGUGAGUUUUAGGGAUCGUGUCUUGGUGUUGCUUCGGUGACGCCAAGGUGUGAGAACUAAUGCUAACUUGACCAUUUAGAGGAAGUAAAAGUC
rnacentral:rRNA from 1 species